rnacentral:guide_RNA from 1 species
AUCAUACACAAUGGUACGUAUAUAGUAGUAAAUGUGAUUAAU